GUUCCAUUCUCCUCAUCUAUUUCUUCAAUCUCAGCUUCAUAACACCUGUAAAGAUAUCAUGGCUGUAAGCAUGGACAACACAUAAAUCAAACCAAGAUUAUUUUCUGAAGGUCAAAGGGACACAAGUACAAAGACUGGAAUCUGCUGUACUUGACCUUUAGCAUCAAGAAGCAAUGGCCUCACAGUUAUCCUAACUAAUGAUUAAUGCUGGGGCCAAUCUAAUCAGAUAUCCUGAUUUGGUUCUGGUAGGUCAUAGGAUUGGAGAAAAAAAAAAAAAAAAAAAA